rnacentral:rRNA from 1 species
AUUGAACGCCGGCGGCAUGCCUUACACAUGCAAGUCGAACGGCAGCGGACCUUCGGGUGCCGGCGAGUGGCGAACGGGUGAGUAAUAUAUCGGAACGUACCUUUCAGUGGGGGAUAACGUAGCGAGAGUUACGCUAAUACCGCAUAUUCUGUGAGCAGGAAAGCAGGGGAUCGCAAGACCUUGCGCUGAUUGAGCGGCCGAUAUCAGAUUAGCUAGUUGGUGAGGUAAAGGCUCACCAAGGCGACGAUCUGUAGCGGGUCUGAGAGGAUGAUCCGCCACACUGGAACUGAGACACGGUCCAGACUCCUACGGGAGGCAGCAGUGGGGAAUUUUGGACAAUGGGCGCAAGCCUGAUCCAGCCAUGCCGCGUGAGUGAAGAAGGCCUCGGUUG